AGAGUUCAAGAGUACGUGAAACCGUUCAGGGGUAAACCUGAGAAACCCAAAAGAUCGAAUGGGGAGAUUCAUCGUCAGCUUAUUUUGUAUAUGUAUUAGUUAUGAUGUGGGUUACUACUUGUAGUAUUGCCUGUACAUUYUUAUGCAUUUAAUUGCAAAAUAUGGUCGGCGUGCACUUCUCCCCUAGUAGAACGUCGCGACCCGUUGGGUGUCGGUCUACGGCCCAAGUGGAAGACUUUAGUGUUUUAAAUGCAUUAGAGACCAUUGGUGUUUUCUGACCGGCUACCCGGCGGCACUCGUACGGUAUUAAGCCGCAAUAUAUAUAUUUUUGCGUCCAAAUCGUCGCAAGCGAGGCCAGUUUAUGAUAGUACGGACCUAGUGCCGUCGUUGUAGCUGGCCAGCUGUUGGUUGUUACGAUUAUCUAGGACUGGCUAAAAAAAAAAUUACCGGUCGGCGAUGCUACUGCUUUGGGUACUUUCAGGACCCGUCUUGAAACACGGACCAAGGAGUCUAACAUGUGCGUAAGUCAUUGGGAUAUUUUUAAUAAAUUAAACCUAAAGGCAUAAUGAAAGUAAAAGUCGACCUUGCGUCAACUGAGGGAGGAUGAAUUAUUUUAAGAUAUAAUUUCGCACUCCCGGGGCGUCUCAUUCUCAUUAUGAGAAGAGGCGCACCUAG
rnacentral:rRNA from 1 species